AUGAGCAUGCGCGAACUGAUCGAGAAAGCUCGCCUCACCAUGGCUCGCCUCGACAAGGCUCGAUCGGCCUCCAAAGAAGAGGCCAGUCGUCAGCAGGAGAUCGAGCGCAGCAGAGCAGAGGCCAGGCGAAAGGUGGAGCAGAUGGCGGACACCGUGCAGUUCAACGACCCCUGGAUCCAUUACUCCGACGUGACCAAGUCCCCCGAGGAGCUGCUCCAAGCAAGACAGCACGCAUGGCGUUAUCAAGCUCGCCUCCUCGAGAUGGCUCGUCGACGGGACUUUGCGCAAGCGAUGCAAAUCCACGGAUGA
rnacentral:rRNA from 1 species